GGUUGGUGGCAUUGCCCCACGGCUCUCCUGCCCCGCAGCGGCGUGGAAUCGUCGGGGGCGUGUGCCGGGUGCUGAGGACCUGCGGGCGCUGGGCAGCGGGGAUCCGCGGCGGGAGCGGGAAGCGCGGGGUCCUGGGUGGCCGCCGCGAGCUGGGAAGCUGUCUGAUCCAGCUUGGGCAAUUUGUGAUGGCGCAGGAAGAGGUUGUCUUGGCCUUCAGACUGGAUUUCUUGGACCCCAGUCUCCUCAUCUCCCUCCAUUUUACAACCAUGGAUGCCAUACUUCCUUAAAAAAAAAAAAAGAAACUAUACAACCAACCACCACACAUCUCAUAUGCAUCUUGCAAACAGGGAGAUAAUGAGAAAGAACUAAGUUAACCUGUGAGGAGACUGCUCAAUGAACAAAGUGCUUAAACCACUCCCACAAGCAUGAGGAUGUGGGU
rnacentral:lncRNA from 1 species